AAUGAUUCCCUCAGUAACGGCGAGCGAAGAGGGAUAAGCUCAAAUUUUAAAUCUGUUGGGUUCCACUUAACAGAGUUGUAUUUUGAAGAAACGUUUUCUGCAUCCAGGAUUAGCCUAAAUCCUUUGGGAUAAGGUAUCAUGGAGGGUGAGAAUCCCGUUCAUGGUUAAUCUUAAGGAAGCUCUACGAUACGUUUUCCAAGAGUCGAGUUGUUUGGGAUUGCAGCUCAAAAUGGGAGGUAAAUUUCUCCUAAGGCUAAAUAUUGGCGAGAGACCGAUAGCGAACAAGUACCGUGAGGGAAAGAUGAAAAGAACUUUGAAAAGAGAGUUAAACAGUACGUGAAAUUGUUGAAAGGGAAACGAUUGAAG
rnacentral:rRNA from 1 species